rnacentral:lncRNA from 10 species
GUCAAUUCAAAACCCCUGAGGAAAAGCAAAACAGAUAAUGCUCAUGAAGCUUAAUAAAAGCCUAGUCCUCUCUCUCCUACUUCUCUCCUGCUGGUUGAGAACGCUUGCUAUCUCUGCGCUUCCUGUUGGCUGUUGUGAACAUCCUUUUUUCUUGUGGAUUUUGACAAUCCUUUGAAGUCAUGAAUAUACAAGAGCAUGAAUAAGAGAAGAAAAGAUGGAAGAUAAAAAGCAGAAGGAUGCAGAGCAUAUCAAUAGCUGGGACCUGAAUUAGCACCAUAUGGAGCAGAGUUCUCUUCCAGCUAACCAAGGGCACUUCAUCACCAAAGCAACAAGAUGUGGAGCAUGAGCAGUUCAACCUUUGAAGAUAACUCAGACUAAUUUGGCCAGCCUCUCCGUCUGAGGGUCUGAGAUCAUAAGAAGGUUUGGGAAAAGAGAAAGUUGUCAUUAAAUUGACAUCAAACAACCAGAAGACAACUUGGGAAAAAGCAGGAAUUUAUGUCCUUCAGCUUUUGCUAAGAUAUUCAUGCCAUGAUAUUUGGCCUAUAUUCCCUUCCAAUUGAGGACCUCUUCUCAUGGAGAAAAAAGUUAAGAACAAGAGAAGAAAACUGCCUUGCUCAAGUACACAUAGGAUAAAACUAAGUGACUGAGCUGGAAUACCAACAGCAGCCUAAUAACUUUAAUUCAGUGAUUUUUCCACCAAAGACUCAACAGCAACUGAUAAAAAAAAAAGGCUGUAUGAAGACCCAGAAACCUUCGGACCUGAGAGAAAAUUAAUUUAUGUUGUUAAAGUCACCUAGUCUGUGGUGUUCUAUUGUAGCAGUUUAAGCUGACUAAUAGACUUACAAAGAUCUUUGUGGUAGCAAAAUCUCAGUUCAGUGAGCAAACUCUGUGUGAUCAGCUGUAUUUUCUCAGGCAAAAUGAUUCAGUGUGACUUGUCUCCUCUUCCUGCCUCAUUUCCUAGUCUGGAAUCAGACAGACACUGCCAAGAUCUCUUUACUUAAUUGGCUCAGAACUGAAACACAGAGUAUCUAGGGGAGUUAAGAGGAAAGCCUGGGGGAUGUAAAGAAAGAGUCACUUUCUGCCCCUGUGUCUCUGCUCAUGAAGGAGGAGGGGUCAACUUUUCAGGUGGUUGGGAAGAUGCCCAGGAAGGACAUAACUGGAAUCUGAAAUUUCUUAAAAAUGGCCAUAUCCUUGAAUGUUGAAAACCUCAGAGAGAGACCCAGAAGAUAUUUCAGGUCUAUGAACACCCUAUAUUUGUCACUGAUAUUAGACAACCUACCCUAGCAUAGUUUCCUAGCCAACCGGAAGAGAUAAUAUGGAACCCACAGGAAUAUUUUUUUAUAAAAUAGACAAGCAGAUUGACUCAGACCUCUUUCCUCUGGGCCCCUCUCUAGUUUCCAAGAUAGAAUUCUAAGGUGGAUGGAAUGGUGGAUACCUCCAAGUAGGAGACCCCUAGACCCUUCUUACUAUGCUAGCCACAUGAGAGAAGACAAAGAGUAUGAUUCUACAAAACUAAACGUUAAAAAGAAGAAUCAGAUGGAUUACUCUUCAUGACCACAGAAGACUUUUUACCUUUUCACAGAUCACAUGGUAUGUGAAAGGGUUAGUCUUUUAGCUUUGUGGCAUAAUUUUAGCACAGCUUGUCUUUGGUAUGAGUAGUUAGUAUUGUAAUAUAGAACACAUGUUAACAUUAUGCACUGAAAGAGUAAUAAUAUUGUAUUAGUCUGUUCUCACAUUGAUAUAAAGAACUACCUCAGACUGGAUAAUUUAUAAAGAAAAGAGAUUUAAUUGACUCACAAUUCCACAGGCUGUACAGGAAACAUGGCUGAGGAGGCCUAAGGAAACUUACAGUCACGGCAGAACACAAAUGGGAAGUAGGCAUGUCUUACAUGGCCAGAGAAGAAGGAAGAGAGAGAAGGACAAAGUGCUACACACUUUUAAACAAUCAGCUCUCAUGAGAACUUACUCACUACCACGAGAACAGCAAGGGAGAAGUCCGCCCCCAUGAUCCAAUCACCUUACAACAGGCCCCUCCUCCAAUAUUGGGGAUUACAAUUGGACAUUAGACUUGGGCAGGGACAUGAAUCCAAACCAUAUCAAAUAUUGUAUUGAGAUGGUUCAGUUCACCUAUGUGCUGAUCAUUUUGCCAUAGUGUCUUACAUAAGCCAUAGAAAAUUCCAGGAUAUUGUGGCUCUCUGCUAUUUUUGCAUGCUAACAUUCAUUCAUUCUGACCCUGUUUUAAAAACCUCAGUUUCCUUCUGGGAAGCUAUCUCUUUUCCACUUUGUUCUUUAACUUUCUGUGGGUGGAUGGUAGAAGUGAAGCAUGAGACAAGUCUGAGCCAAUCAGCAGAUCAUAAACAAUAUGGAUGAUGAAGGUAUUUUCCCUGAAACUUCUCAGGAGGAAGCACUCCUAUUUUCCUCUGUGCCUGAACUGAGAUAUACACCUAAGAAUUGCUGGUUUGGGUUGAUUAUCUAAGAGAAUAAACUGCUUAAAAUUAGUCAGAAAAGGGUAAAGUGAGGCUACAAAGUAAAGAGAGAAAUUGGAUCCAGGCAAUGUUGUUUGAAUCCUGGAUCAAGCCUCAUCUGAAUUCAAUGUCUAUCUUUGAUCUGUUCAGUUAUGUAACAUUUUUUAGAAAGUCCGAUUAAGCCAGUGUAGGCCAGGUCUUUGGCAUUUGCAACAGAAUCCUCACUGCAGCAUUUCAUGUUACACGUGAGUCCCUGAAUCUUAUGGAAGUUAAAUAAUUUAACCUAAAGCAAUAUUUAUAUUAAGUAACAGAAAUGCUAAACCCCAUACACAAACACUUGGAGAACUUGGAUGCAAUACUCCCCAUGUCUGAGCUGAAGAUAAGAUAUUUUACCAUGAACUGGCUCAUGGAAGCAAUGAAAAGAAACACAUUUUGAAGAACAUUGGUCUGACAUUUACUUUUGUUUUUCACAUAAUGAGUACAUGUCAAAGUAGGAUUCCAUCCUGAGUCUCACCAACUCUAUAGCAAAUACCCUACUGUAUUUUUUUAUGUAACAGAAGUAAGAAUAACAUUCUAUGUCACAGAGAAAUUGAUUAUUUCUCAAUAAAGCCAAUAUAAGAACAGGUGAAGCAUAGGGGGAAAGGUUAGAAUUGCUCUAUGAUUAAAGUUUGUUGGCCUGAAACAGACAUGCUAUAGAAAGUUGUGAGAGCUGCCUUCAGGAAUGUGUGACAUAGAUCCUCCUUCCUUAAACCACCAGGAAACAGACAAAGAGACUGGUUAUGGAAAGAAUCUGGGCCUUGGUGAGAGAUAGUAGAAAGGACGUGGCCAUUGGUAUUAAUUGAAAUAUAUAACAUGUCUUCCUAAGCUAUUUUCUCCCCAAAUAUGUUCCUUGCAGUACUGCUGUUUGACAUGCUCUCUAAACAUAUUUUUUAUUGUAAUCCACAGAAAUUGACUAUAUAAAGGAAAAGAGGAAGGUAUUGAGGGACAGUCAUUAGCACCUAAGUUGACAGUGGGCUGAGGUUCUGCCUUGGCUAAUGGCCAGAUCCAAUAGUGGCUAGAAGCACUAUAAGGUCACUGCCGAACAGCCUUGUGAGUGGGAAGCUACUGCCUGCCACUGGAUACUAACUACCACUACUACCACUCAGUGGUCAUCAGAUGUUGUCAGCACUGCAGAGGAAAAUUCUAUAUUGUCCUGCUUGCUUUCUUUUAUCAUUGGUUCCCGAUUCAGAGUUUCUUGUAGGAGAAUCCUAUUGGCCAAGCUUAAGUCACUUCACCAAAAUCCAACUGCUUUUUCUCGAGGAAAAAAAAAAAUGUCAGGUAUUUUUGGCUUCUAUGAUGUGAGGAAGAUCUUUAAUCCAUGUAUAGAUUUACCCCAAAUUAUCUUCUUUAAACAUAAAAAUGAGCAAGUGAGUAAGCAACAAAUAUCUGCUCCACCCAGAAAAAUGUUCUUUAGAAAACAAACAAAAAGCACAAAAAAUGGGAAGUACUGUUUACCAUAAUUUUAUCUUGGAGAUUCACAAUUUAUUUAAGUGGUCAAAAUCUCUGAGAAUUCUUACUGCACAACAAACAAAAAACCCUGUUAUUUUUAGAAUUUGUCAUUCAACAAACUUAUUUGAACAUGAUACCUUUGAUUAUAGAAUAUUUGAAUAUCUCUCGUAUUUUUCCUCAAGUUGUAAUUUGAGAAAAGUUGUCUUGAGCCUUCUCCAGAUGUCUUAUCUAUGUCCUCCCCCAGCCUUUUAUAAACAUACCCCGAGAUGGCAAACUAAAUGCAGGAGCUAAAAAGUCUCAUGUUCCCCUUUCAAACUAUGGUUAUAUUUAAUACCAGAGUCUUUUAGAAUCCAUUCACAGGACUUGAAUCCUGGAUCUGAGUUUGCAAAAGAAAUGAAGCUAAUGAAAGACAAGGAACUUCUGGUCUUAGUUGAGAUGCAAAAAGAAUUUCAAGGAGAAGUCAAGGAACAAAAAACAAUGGCCAAAAUCAUGAACUCCAUGAAUUUCAUCCACCAUAUAAUAAGGUAGAUGAUAUUCAUUUCCCACCAGGUGAAAGCUCUCAAGUCUGGAAGUCCUAAAUCAAGCUGAGGGCUGAGCCACGCUUCUUCCAAAGCUUCCAGGAGAGGACCCUUCUUUGCCUCUUCCAGCUUCUGGAAAACAUUUCCAUCUGGCUUUCCUCUGUCUGACUUAAACAAUGAUUUUCCAUCCUACCUGAACAUUAUAAUCAUCUGGAAGAGUUUUUUAAAAUACAGAUGCUAUUGCUACACCCAUGGAGCUUGUGUCUUACCAUCUGAUAUGGUUUGGCUGUGUCCGCACUCAACUCUCAUCAUGAAUUGUAGUUCCCGUAAUCCCCAUGUGUCAUGGGAGAGGCCUAGUGGAAGGAAAGAUGAUGAAAGAAGGGCUAGCCUGAAAGAAACUUCUGCCUUCUUUGGAAAUGAGAUGCAAAAAGUAUGGCUCCCUGCUACAACAAAAAUGGAUCCCCCAAGGAGGACAUAACUGGAAUUGCUGUCAUUGUUACCCCUUUGAAAAUCUCAGCCAGCUAGAGGACCAGAGACAUUCUCAUCAAGAUUAAAGCCAGAGCAACCACCACCAACAAAUGAUGACAAAUCCCUGCCAGGAUUGGAGUGGGUUUGAAUGGCAUAGCUGGCCCCUGGUACUCCUGAGUGGUUAGAUCGUCAGUCUUACCUGUUCAUUUUGUUAACCUCAUAGUAGUACAGCAACAUAUUUUACUUGUUUGAAUUGUUUGUGUUAGAAUCAGGUAUUAACCUUGUAGGCAACAUGGAUAAUAUAUUUCUGUAGUUCAACAUAAUUUCCAUUUUAAAUUCACAAUUUAUUAGAGCAGCAGAAAAUAAUGUCAAUAAAAUUGAAGCCUCUUUUUCUUAAGGGAUUGUGCCUAAGGAGCUUACUUAAUUCCAAGACUGGGUGUGUGGUGAGGAGGGGAGAAAAUGGAGAGGACGCUAUGCCUCAUUAUUUCCUAAGAUGCUCAUCAUUCCAAAUGAUCAUCCAUCACUGGUCUUAAGGUCACUUUUGUCUUCUGGUCUCUUUGGGUCUGAAAGAUCUCUGCUAUGUCCAUUAUUCAGGUGGGGGUUUGGAAAUAACUGCAACCUAUCUAGAAACUCAUCUGCCAAAUGAACUUCGCAACAAUUUCCUAUGUGGGGGCAUAUCACCUUCCUGAGACUCUGCCUGAGGUAAAGGCACAGAGCCUCACUCCCUUGAUCAAGCUUCCUUCCAUCCUUCUUACUCCAACCUGUUUUCUGUUUGCCACAGAAAUCUCACCUUCUUUCAGAGACACAAAGGGAACUCUACCCCAAGAUCAAUUUUAUAAAGGCUCAUAAUUCCAGUUCUCUCUUGAUAAUAGAGCAGUCUCGAAAUCAGUUACUAAAUGUAGGGUGGAUUAAUUUUAGAUCUUGUGUAUAGGACUUGGUCUGAAUCCUUUAAAAUCGUAGGUAUAUACUUUACAUAAGCCUUACCCCAAGGGCAGCCAUAAUUUUCUUUCAACCAUAUUUUGUAGGCUGGUGAGUCCUGCACCUGCCCCAAGUUUCAGGCAAUUAACUUGACUGUGGUCUCCUGCCAUGCACACUGAGCUUUAGCUCUCAUUAAUCUGUGGGAGACAAAUUCUAGCUUCCUCUAGACUGAGAACCAGCAGGCCUAGCUCCAGUCUCUAAUCACUAACUUAUCACUGUGACAUUUUUUUCCCUUUCUGGUCUGUGGAGAUAUUUCUCUUCUUUUGAGUUUACCAUAUCUUAGUCAUUUUGCCAUUCUUUAAAAUUAUUCUUUGACUGCUAAGCUUGGAGUUGAUGGAGAAGUUCAAGCCUAAACUCAUAAUGUCAUCCUGACCCUUGGUCCCAAACUGUUGGUAUCUGAUUAUCUAGUUCUCAGGGUGAAUUUGGAUAUUUGUAGACUUGAAGGCCCAAAUAGACAAGUGGACACUCCAUGUUAAUCAUAGCCCAACUUAUCCUAGAAAGAAAAUUAAGUUUAAUUAAGUUCCUCAAUAUAUUUCACCUAAGAUGCAAGAACAAAUAAACCCUGAAAAAUAUUUUUUAUAGUGAAGCCCUUGCUCAGAGAAAAAACAGAACAAAACCUCAAGAACUGUGAUUAAUUAUACUAAAGGAUAUUUUCAGGCAUGGACUUGUCUUGAAAACGUGCUGUUGGGCCUAAUUGUAUUUACAGUUCACACUCAUAUAUAGAGCACUGGUAGACCAGUCAGUGAGUGAAUGAUUAUAGUCCUAUUUUUGGCUUGAACAUUCAUCAAUGUGUGAGUGUUGGCAGGAAAGCCACUAAACUUUUCACAGUAUGUCUUCUCAUUGUAAAAUGGAAAUAUUAAUUCCUGCCAUUAUUGUGGUAUGGUUAUGAAGAACAAACAAAACACAGCCAAAUGAUGCUAUAAAUCUGUUUUGAGAUUAUCCCUGGCACAUUUACCUAGUAAAAUUUUGCAUUCAUUUUGCAUAGUAAAAUGAAUAGUUGUUAUUUUAAAAGAGGGUAAAAAAAAUAAGCUAAGUAAUUCAAGAAUCUAAAAACAACUAUAAAAUAAGCAAUACAUUAAACAAAUAUUAAAAUUACUUAACCAAAAAGAAAGCUAUUUUGUUUAAAAGAUUAGUAGAAUUAAGACGAGAUUUUAAAUGUCUCUUUCUACUGAGGUUAAUGCUAAAAAAUUGUAUCUUUGAGUUUUUUUUUCUUUUUUUAGAAAAUGAUAGUGGAAAAAUUUUUAUCAGAAGAAAGCUUAAAAGCAUAGGUAAAAUUAGCCUUUUUUUCUAGAGAAAAUAUAAGUAUCAAAAAUGACAGAAGGAAUAGAUCAAUUAAAUACUGUAAAGAGUAUAUAGCUAAAAAUAAUCAAUUCCCAAUGUCUCAAAAUUCACCUUAUAGUACUAAUUAUAACUGUGGCCAAAUCUCCAAGGUACAGAUAAUGCUUAUAUAUUAUGACCUUUCCAGACACUAUAAAAAGAGGACAACCUGUCAAGAAAGUUUAUUACUAUCUUUGGUUUUUCAUGUUAUGAUUGUUUAUCUGCUAAGAAAUUAUUGGAACUGUUAUUACAGUUUGUUAUUAAUGCCAAAAAUUAGAUCGAUAUGCAAAGGCCAAUGGAAGAAAUAGUUAGCAACAAUAAGAGAAAAAAGUAUAUAGAGAAAAAAUAUCUAAAAUAUCAGAAAAACCUUUAUGAUAUCAAAGAAUGUAAUAAAAGUAAAACCAUUAUAGAAUAAUAAUUUUUAAAAUAUUUGUGAAAGAUAUGUAUGAAUACCAAAACAGGUGGUAAAAAUCUUGUUAUGGAUAAGAAAAUUCACGGCCAUAAAGCUGUCAAUUUUUUUCAAAAUUAAAGGGCAACCUCCCUCUAGGAUUUUUAAUGUACAUACUAACUUGGUGCAAAAGUCAUUGCAGUUUUUGCCAUUACUUUAAUAGCAAAAACUAAAAAUAACCAAAAUGUCUGGUAGGGGGUCUGCCUGAGCAAGUAUUAAAACAUAAGUAACAAUAAUUAAAGCAGCAUUAUAUUGGCACAGAAAUAGGUAUGAAGGAAUUAAGAGCUGAGGUAGAGUCUCAAGUUUAUACAUAAUUUUUUAUUGUUGAACAAUUCUAUGGAGAUAAGUUUUGCAUACAAAAAUUUCAUGUUUAAAGAAAUAAUUUGGUGUUUUGAGAUAUGUAUUUAUGCAUGUUAAAAAAUUGAUCACUCACAAAAAUUUCCUCCACUUUGUACUCUCUUUCUUAGAGUCCUUCCCAUUCUAGGAAGCCAAUGAUUGUCUUUCUAUCAUUAGAGACUAGUUUGCAUUUUUAAGCAUUUUAUAUGAAUGGAGUAAUACAAUGCAUACUCUCAUUUUGUCUGGCUUAUUUCACUCAGUGUAAGAGAUGUCUCAAACCUGUUGCCAACAGUUUUGCAUCAAUAGUUAAUUCUUUUCAUUGCUGAGUAGUAUUCCAUUGUAUAGAUGUAUCAUAAUUUAUCUGCUUACACACUGAUGGACAUUUGGAUUCUUUCCAGUUUUUGGCUAUUAUCAUAAAAGUUUCUUGAAGAAUUUUAUAAAAGUCUUGGUAUGAAUAUUUUCAUUCAUUUCUGCUGGGUACAAACUUAGGAGUGGAGUGUCUGGAACAUAUGGUAGAUGCAUGUUUAACAUUUUAAGAAACUGCCAAAUCAUUUUCCAAAAUACAUGUAUUACUAGGAUAAGUUAGAGUGAAUUAUCUCCAUACCCUCUUGAAAUAGGUUGACCAUGUCAAUCUAUUUUUAUGUAGUCAUUAUACUGAGUGUGCAGUGGUAUGGCCAUGUCAAUCUAUUUUUAUGUAGUCAUUAUACUGAGUGUGCAGUGGUAUGGCCAUGUCAAUCUAUUUUUAUGUAGUCAUUAUACUGAGUGUGCAGUGGUACCUAAUUUUGGUUUCAGCGACUAAGGGGUUGAGC